CGGAAGUGGGUGUGCCGGAGACGGUGGCCGAAGAGGACCGCUCCGGAAAGGGCCGAUGGAGUGAGGGGCACAGGCCGGCGGGGAUCUUGGAUCUCCGAGGCCGGUCCCGCUCGGAGCUGCAAUGAUUCCCCCACAGGAGGCGUCCGUUCGGCGGCGGGAGAUAGAGGACAAAUUGAAGCAGGAGGAGGAGACGCUCUCCUUCAUCCGAGACAGCCUGGAGAAGAGCGACCAGCUCACCAAGAACAUGGUGUCUAUCCUAUCAUCUUUUGAGAGCCGGCUUAUGAAGCUAGAGAACUCCAUCAUCCCCGUGCAUAAGCAAACAGAGAACCUACAGCGAUUACAAGAGAACGUGGAGAAGACCCUGUCCUGUCUAGACCAUGUCAUCAGCUAUUACCAUGUGGCCAGUGACACGGAGAAGAUAAUUAGGGAAGGCCCCACAGGAAGGUUGGAGGAGUACCUGGGAUGCAUGGCCAAAAUCCAGAAGGCAGUGGAGUACUUUCAGGACAACAACCCUGACAGCCCAGAGCUGAACCGCGUGAAGUUCCUUUUUGAGCGUGGAAAAGAGUCCCUAGAGUCUGAGUUCCGAAGUUUGAUGACUCGGCACAGUAAGGUCGUCUCCCCUGUGCUCAUUUUGGACCUGAUCAGUGGGGAAGAUGACAUGGAGGCUCCAGAUGACGUGCCCCUGGAUCACCUGUCUGAGAGUGUGCUCCAUGAUGUGAUUCGAAUUUCCCGCUGGCUGGUGGAAUAUGGGAGGAACCAAGAUUUCAUGAAUGUUUACUAUCAGAUCCGUUCCAGUCAGUUGGACCGUUCAAUCAAGGGCCUGAAAGAGCACUUUCGGAAAAGCAGCUCCUCUUCUGGUGUUCCCUACUCCCCUGCUAUUCCCAAUAAGAGGAAAGAUACACCCACCAAAAAACCAAUCAAACGGCCAGGGACGAUUCGUAAGGCUCAGAACCUUCUGAAACAGUAUUCUCAGCAUGGUCUAGAUGGGAAAAAGGGGGGUUCUAACCUCAUUCCUCUGGAAGGAAGGGAUGAUAUGCUGGAUAUGGAAAUUGAUGCCUACAUCCACUGUGUCAGUGCCUUUGUCAAGUUGGCACAGAGCGAGUACCAGCUGCUGACGGAUAUCAUCCCUGAGCACCAUCAAAAAAAGACCUUUGACUCCCUCAUCCAGGAUGCAUUGGAUGGACUGAUGAUGGAGGGGGAGAACAUUGUGUCAGUUGCCCGGAAGGCCAUCAUCCGACAUGACUACUCAGCUGUGCUCACAGUCUUCCCCAUCCUACGGCACCUUAAGCAAACCAAGCCUGAGUUUGAUCAAGUACUUCAGGGCACAGCUGCCAGCACCAAAAACAAGCUGCCGGGACUCAUUACCUCCAUGGAGACCACUGGUGCCAAAGCCCUGGAGGACUUUGCUGAUAACAUCAAGAAUGACCCAGACAAGGAGUACAACAUGCCCAAGGAUGGCACUGUGCAUGAGCUCACAAGCAAUGCCAUCCUCUUCCUUCAGCAGCUUCUUGAUUUCCAGGAAACAGCUGGUGCCAUGCUGGCCUCACAAGAGACAAGCUCCUCUGCCACCAGCUAUAAUUCUGAAUUCAGCAAACGACUACUAAGCACCUAUAUCUGUAAAGUUCUCGGUAACCUACAACUAAACCUACUCAGUAAGUCCAAGGUAUAUGAGGACCCAGCUCUAAGGGCCAUUUUCCUGCACAAUAACUACAACUACAUCCUCAAGUCCCUGGAGAAGUCUGAACUCAUCCACCUGGUGGCAGUGACCCAGAAGACAGCUGAGCGCUCGUACCGAGAUCACAUUGAACAGCAGAUCCAGACGUACCAACGCAGCAGCUGGCUAAAGGUAACUGACUACAUUUCUGAAAAGAACUUACCUGUAUUCCAACCAGGAGUCAAGCUCCGGGACAAGGAACGGCAGAUGAUCAAGGAGCGCUUUAAGGUGAACCAUGACCCAGCCCUCUCUUUUCUCAGCUCAUGCUGCCAUAUGAACUUGAGCUACAUGGUCACUGUCUCAUUUCUCAGCUGACUCUUCUCUCCCCAUAUUCCCUGAAGGGCUUCAAUGAUGGCCUUGAGGAGCUCUGCAAGAUCCAGAAGGCCUGGGCCAUCCCAGACACUGAGCAGAGGGACAAGAUCCGCCAGGCUCAGAAAACCAUUGUCAAGGAGAACUAUGGGGCCUUCCUUCACAGGUAUGCCAGCGUACCCUUCACCAAGAAUCCUGAGAAGUACAUCAAGUACCGCGUGGAGCAAGUGGCAGACAUGAUUGAGCGCCUGUUUGACACAUCGGCCUGAUUCUGCCAUGUCACUGUGGCAUCUCCAUGACCCCCAGUGGGCUUUAAUCCAUUUAUCAGACAGAUAAACCAGGGUUUAUACUGCUCUUUGGCUGAGUGAGUCUGAAGUCCUUUGGGGCAGGGACCUCUCUUUAGAGUUCUCAUUCUCCAUCUGUGCUUCCUCCUGACAGCCCUGCUUUAAUUGGGCCCGUGACCCCUCUCUUCCCACCUUGGUACUGUUAACUGUCUCUGGGGAAGGAGGAAAGAUGGCAGACAAAGGGCAGCAGAAUACUAGCUGCUGCUGUGGGCUUUGUGGACAUGAAGAAUGGCCCAUCUCCCACUGGCUUAGGUAGAAUCCUUGAGCUUCACAUCCUCUUCUCAGCUCUCAGACUCUUGAUGUAUUUGUGGCUAAGGGGCAGAGCCAAGGUCAUCCUGCCCAGUUGUCCUCCCCUGAGCUGAGUCAAGAGCAUUUAGUGGAAGAGAGGGCUGGGAUCCCAAGCCAAGGCCCUCCAUAGCCUUUGGAUCAGAAGGGGCUCUUGUCACCCUUUUUAUUCUCCUUAGCAAUAAGCAUUAAGAAGUGGCAGGUAUCAUCCUCACUCCCUACUUCACCAUUCUCCUAGCAUUACCUUUAGUUGCCAUAGGCACCCUGGGACAUUAGAGGAAGCUCAUCCCUUCAUUCUGUCUGUCAGUAUCACACUCCUUUCUCUCUAGCAGGAGGACAUAAAAAGAACCCUUAUUUCUCCCAGCCCUACAUUCCAUAUGGUUUUUCCCCAUGUACUUUAUGGACUGAA